GCAGCCAGCUCCGUGGGGGAGAGGCUGCGCUUCCAUGGGUGCGGGCGCUGGCUCUCCCUUCCCUGGGCUGGACCCAGCCUGUCUGAACGAUGGCACAGCUCCAGCUUUCCUUACAUCAAGAGAGGAAAAUAUUUUGGAAAGGGGCUAAAUAGAACUUAAUUUGCCAUGUGGUUGGAAUUAACAGAGAGCACUUCCCACCAGCCUUUGAAGGGCUUGGUGGUUGAGGCCUUGCUCUCUCUGCCUUAGUUCAAAGCCUCGUCGUCAGGGCCUGUGGACAUCCCAGGCUGGGCCGGAGCCCGCAUAGCACAUUGUGGCACGUGACAGUCACAUGAUUUCUGCAUUGAACCCCAAAGCUUCCACCAGCUUUCCUGGAACCUACGGCCAGAAGAGUCCUGAGAUUUCAAAUAUUAAAGCUUUCUCCACAGCC
rnacentral:lncRNA from 1 species